CCCUUAGAUGUCCUGGGCCGCACGCGCGCUACACUGAGUGUCUGAGAUACGAGUCUGCCUGGUCCGGCAAGGUCUAGGUAAUCGCUAAAAGACACAUCAUGCUUGGGAUAGAUUAUUGCAAAUAUUAAUCUUGAACGAGGAAUUCCCAGUAAGCGCAAGUCAACAGCUUGCGUUGAUUACGUCCCUGCCCUUUGUACACACCGCCCGUCGCUACUACUGAUUGGAUGUUUAAGCGAGGUUCUCGAACUGCUAGCGACUUAGCUUCGGUGAGGUCGCAGUGUGGGAAGUGAACCUAGCUUUGGUGUCGAGAGGAAGUAAAAGUCGUAACA
rnacentral:rRNA from 1 species